rnacentral:rRNA from 1 species
UUGGAGGGCAAGUCUGGUGCCAGCAGCCGCGGUAAUUCCAGCUCCAAUAGCGUAUAUUAAAGUUGUUGCAGUUAAAAGCUCGUAGUUGAAUUUCGGGAUCAAUAUGUUGGUCGUGCCUUGGUACGUACUGGCGUCAUUGGUUUCUACCUUCUGAAGAACCUCGAUGUCAUUAAUUUGGUGUCUUGGGGAAUCAGGACUGUUACUUUGAAAAAAUUAGAGUGUUUAAAGCAGGCUCACGCUUGAAUACAUUAGCAUGGAAUAAUGAAAUAGGACGUUUGAUUCUAUUUUGUUGGUUUCUAGGAUCGACGUAAUGAUUAAUAGGGAUAGUUGGGGGCAUUAGUAUUCAAUUGUCAGAGGUGAAAUUCUUGGAUUUAUUGAAGACUAACUACUGCGAAAGCAUUUGCCAAGGAUGUUUUCAUUAAUCAAGAACGAAAGUUAGGGGAUCGAAGACGAUCAGAUACCGUCGUAGUCUUAACCAUAAACUAUGCCGACUAGGGAUCGGAUGAUGUUAAUUUUUUAAUGACUCAUUCGGCGCCUUACGGGAAAC